rnacentral:miRNA from 1 species
CCCCAGAUGUUGCUGAACUACAACUCCCAUGAUUCUCUAGCUAUUUAUGUAAUUUAAAAUCAUGGGAGUUGUAGUUCAGCAACAUCUGGGG